rnacentral:rRNA from 1 species
GAUGAACGCUAGCGGCAGGCUUAACACAUGCAAGUCGAGGGGCAGCAUACCCGGUGACGGGUGAUGGCGACCGGCGGAAGGGUGAGUAACGCGUGAGCAACAUACCCGUAUCAGUGGGAUAAUACAGGGAAACUUGUUCUAAUAUCACAUAAUAUUAUUCAGAGGCAUCUUUGGAUAAUUAAAGUUCAGGCGGAUACGGAAUGGCUCGCGUGACAUUAGCUAGAUGGUAGGGUAAAGGCCUACCAUGGCUAUGAUGUCUAGGGGUUCUGAGAGGGAGGUCCCCCACACUGGAACUGAGACACGGUCCAGACUCCUACGGGAGGCAGCAGUGAGGAAUAUUGGACAAUGGAUGGAAAUCUGAUCCAGCCAUGCCGCGUGCAGGAAGGCGGCCCUAUGGGUUGUAAACUGCUUUUGUACGGGAGCAAUAAGGUCUACGAGUAGAUUGAUGAGAGUACUGUACGAAUAAGCAUCGGCUAACUCCGUG